AUGGCACUGUGGUACACAUUCGGUGGAGGAACCAAACUGGUGAUCAGAACUGGACCCACAGUGAAGCCCUCAGUGUCUCUGCUGUCACCUGUUGCUCUUCAGAUCUCUGGAGACUCAGCCGCAUUGCUCUGUAUCCUCAACUCUUACUCUCCACAGGGGGCGCUGGUGAGCUGGACACUGGAUGGGUCAGAGGUCACUGACGGGAUUCAGACCAGUGCCGAGAGCGAGCAGGACGGCCGAUACAGCCGUAAAAGUGUCCUGACUCUCAGUAAAGCACUCUGGGAAGAGGCGGAGGUGUUCGUCUGCAGAGUGACACAUGAUGAAACUCUUCACGAGGUCUCCAUGCGUAAGAGUCGCUGUUAGAAGAUCUGAGUGUUGAUGUUUGUCCAGCUGAAGAUCUCUCAUAUAUCUGAUGAUCUGUGUCAGACUCAUGUCACUCUACUCAUACACAUCUGAUCAUUUACACUUUUAUAACUCUCACAACAUCUCUUGUGUUUGCUGUUACAUUCAAUAAAGAUUUUGAAGAUGUUACAUUUGUGUUCAAGUGAUUUUCAUUAAGUCAUUUGUUAAAGUUUUAAAAAUAGAGAGUGAAUUUACAGAUGAAAUUAAACUAAAGUUGAUGUGGUUUAAAGAUGUUAACAGGAGACAGAGCUGAG